rnacentral:rRNA from 1 species
GACAGAGGGGGCAAGCGUUGCUCGGAAUCACUGGGCGUAAAGGGCGCGUAGGCGGGAUGGCAAGUCAGUCGUGAAAUCUCUCGGCUCAACCGAGAAACGUCGGCUGAUACUGCCGUUCUUGAGGGAUGCAGAGGAGACUGGAAUUCCCGGUGUAGCGGUGAAAUGUGUAGAGAUCGGGAGGAACACCGAUGGCGAAGGCAGUUCUCUGGGCCGUAACUGACGCUGAGGAGCGAAAGCGUGGGGAGCGAACAGG